rnacentral:rRNA from 1 species
GAUGAACGCUGGCGGCGUGCCUAACACAUGCAAGUCGAACGGAGUCCAGCCUUUAAGACCUUCGGGUCAAAGAGGGGAAGACUGAGUGGCGGACGGGUGAGUAACACGUGGGCAACCUGGCUCAUAGAGGGGGAUAACAGAGAGAAAUUUCUGCUAAUACCGCAUAAGCACACACUGCCGCAUGGCAGAGGGUGAAAAGAGAAUCGCUAUGAGAUGGACCCGCGUCUGAUUAGCCAGUUGGCAGGGUAAGAGCCUACCAAAGCGACGAUCAGUAGCCGAUCUGAGAGGAUGAACGGCCACAUUGGGACUGAGACACGGCCCAAACUCCUACGGGAGGCAGCAGUGGGGGAUAUUGCACAAUGGGGGGAACCCUGAUGCAGCGACGCCGCGUGAGUGAAGAAGUAUUUCGGUAUGUAAAGCUCUACCAGCAGGGAAGAUAAUGACAGUACCUGAAUAAGAAGCCCCGGCUAACUACGUG